AGGACCGAGUGCCGCUCACG
rnacentral:sRNA from 1 species